CAAGGCCUUGCGCUCUUUGAGCGGCCGAUGUCAGAUUAGCUAGUUGGUGAAGUAAAGGCUUACCAAGGCGAUGAUCUGUAGCGGGUCUGAGAGGAUGAUCCGCCACACUGGAACUGAGACACGUUCCAGACUCCUACGGGAGGCAGCAGCGGGGAAUUUUGGACAAUGGGGGCAACCCUGAUCCAGCCAUGCCGCGUGAGUGAAGAAGGCCUUCGGGUUGUAAAGCUCUUUCGGCCGGGAAGAAAUCGCAUGGGCCAAUACCCUGUGUGGAUGACGGUACCGGAAUAAGAAGCACCGGCUAACUACGUGCCAGCAGCCGCGGUAAUACGUAGGGUGCGAGCGUUAAUCGGAAUUACUGGGCGUAAAGCGUGCGCAGGCGGUUUUGUAAGACAGGCGUGAAAUCCCCGGGCUUAACCUGGGAACUGCGUUUGUGACUGCAAGGCUAGAGUACGGCAGAGGGGGGUGGAAUUCCACGUGUAGCAGUGAAAUGCGUAGAGAUGUGGAGGAACACCAAUGGCGAAGGCAGCCCCCUGGGUCGAUACUGACGCUCAUGCACGAAAGCGUGGGUAGCAAACAGGAUUAGAUACCCUGGUAGUCCACGCCCUAAACUAUGUCAACUAGGUGUUGGGUGGGUAAAACCAUUUAGUACCGUAGCUAACGCGUGAAGUUGACCGCCUGGGGAGUACGGCCGCAAGGUUAAAACUCAAAGGAAUUGACGGGGACCCGCACAAGCGGUGGAUGAUGUGGAUUAAUUCGAUGCAACGCGAAAAACCUUACCUACCCUUGACAUGCCAGGAACUUGCCAGAGAUGGCUCGGUGCCCGAAAGGGAGCCUGGACACAGGUGCUGCAUGGCUGUCGUCAGCUCGUGUCGUGAGAUGUUGGGUUUAGUCCCGCAACGAGCGCAACCCUUGUCGUUAAUUGCCAUCAUUUAGUUGGGCACUUUAACGAGACUGCCGGUGACAAACCGGAGGAAGGUGGGGAUGACGUCAAGUCCUCAUGGCCCUUAUGGGUAGGGCUUCACACGUCAUACAAUGGUCGGUACAAAGGGUUGCCAAGCCGCGAGGCGGAGCCAAUCCCAGAAAGCCGAUCGUAGUCCGGAUUGCAGGCUGCAACUCGCCUGCAUGAAGUCGGAAUCGCUAGUAAUCGUGGAUCAGCAUGUCACGGUGAAUACGUUCCCGGGUCUUGUACACACCGCCCGUCACACCAUGGGAGCGGGUUCCGCCAGAAGUAGGUAGCCUAACCGCAAGGGGGGCGCUUACCACGG
rnacentral:rRNA from 1 species